rnacentral:rRNA from 1 species
GACGAACGCUGGCGGCGUGCCUAAUACAUGCAAGUCGAACGCACAGUUUAUACCGUAGCUUGCUACACCAUAGACUGUGAGUUGCGAACGGGUGAGUAACGCGUAGGUAACCUGCCUGGUAGCGGGGGAUAACUAUUGGAAACGAUAGCUAAUACCGCAUAAUAUUAAUUAUUGCAUGAUAAUUAAUUGAAAGGUGCAAUUGCACCACUACCAGACGGACCUGCGUUGUAUUAGCUAGUAGGUGAGGUAACGGCUCACCUAGGCGAGGAUACAUAGCCGACCGGCGAGGAUGAUCGGCCACACUGGGACUGAGACACGGCCCAGACUCCUACGGGAGGCAGCAGUAGGGAAUCUUCGGCAAUGGACGAAAGUCUGAGCGAGAAACGCCGCGUGAGUGAAGAAGGUUUUCGGAUCGUAGAGCUCUGUUGUAAGAGAAGAACGGGUGUGAGAGUGGAAAGUUCACACUGUGACGGUAUCUGACCAGAAAGGGACGGCUAACUACGUG